GACUCAGCUUGUUCGGUAUAUCGAUCUCGCGCGAGGAGUCGACGCCGUCGAACGACAUCGUAAUCGUCACCGACAGUGGCCUCGUACCCGACCCGAACACGAUGCUGGCGGAGCGCUAUACGGCACGCCGUGCCGCCCGCCUCAACUUCCUGUGGGGAAUUCGCAACGUGCGAUUCAAGCGUGUCGAGGGGUUCGACGCGCUUACUGGCGAGCAGGACAUUCGAACGGGCUUUCAGCUCGGCACGUUGCUUGGCCGGAGCCUGUCGGUGCUGGGCACGCACGAUGACGACAUCAUCCUGUCGACCGACAUUUACGCCGGGGCCGGGUCGGCGCGGACGUUCGCUGCCAUCCAGUUGUUAGGCGAAGGGCGGCAGAACUACGACGAGAAUCAGUGGGACGAUAUUCUCUCGACCGGUCGUGCCGCGGUAUACGUCAAACCGCAUCCCCGGCACACGUCGAUCCUGAGUGGCGAGUGGAGCGGCGGAUGGCGGCAGCGGGCGCCAUUUCAGCUGAGGCUUGGUGAGUCGCGCGGGGGGAUGCGAGGUUACUCGAGCGCAGAGUUGCCAGGCGGGCAACGCGCGAUCGCUCGACUCGAGGAGCGAUGGGUGCUGGGCAACGUGCGCGGCAACGCGGACGCAGGCAUCGCGUUGCUCGCCGAAGCGGGUCGCGUGUGGGCGGGCGACGUCCCGUUCGGCACGACGUCGGGAUGGAAAUACUCCCUCGGCACGAGCUUGCUCGCGGCGCUGCCGCCUGGCUCGAAGCGGCUCUGGCGUGUGGACCUCAUGCUGCCGCUCGAUCGCGAGGAGGGGGCUCGCCUGGAGCUGCGACUGCGUAUCGAGGAUCGCACGCGGACAUUCUGGCGCGAGCCGCGCGAUGUCGAGCGAAGCCGCGAG
rnacentral:misc_RNA from 1 species